AUCAUCCUGAGAUGCUCGUUUGGGAAUCAUAAAAGAACCUACAAAUUGACUUUGGGAAUUCGAGUUUCUGACAGCCUAUGUCAAGCCUCCUCCGAGUGGAAGACAGAAGCGGGAACAGAGCACCCACCUAUCGGGAGAUAGGGCGUCUUUUAUAUCCUGACGGCAUAUUCGGGAUUAUU
rnacentral:other from 1 species